rnacentral:sRNA from 1 species
AGGACCCGGAUGAGAGUGCACGCUUGGGGGUCCCCGGGAAGUCGCGGCGCCUUCGGAGGUGGCGGAUGCGGUCGUGAGCCGGCGGGGGAGUUCCUCCAGAUCCAGCUGGUGCCCUCGCCUGACUUUCGAACGACCACCUGCUCACCUCCUCCCUUUAGCGCGUUGAUUCUUCGAAUUUCGAAGGGCCCACCGGUGCUGCUGCUGCCUCCACUGUACUCAGACCCAGGUAGCACAGGAUUGUCCAUCCGCCAGCAGCUCAGUGCAACGGUGUGAACUCAGCCUGUUUCAGAGCCUUCCUACCAUGGCUGGAGUGCAAUGGCACAAUCUCAGCUCACCACAACCUCCGCCUCCCAGGUUCAAGCAAUUCUUCUGCCUCAGCCUCCCGAGUAGCUGGAAUUACAGACCUCCAAAAAGCUGGUGAACUCGGUGGCUGGCUGUGCUGAUGACGCUCUUGCUGGCCUGGUGGCCUGCAACCCCAACCUGCAGCUCCUGGAGGGCCACCGCGUGGCCCUCCGUUCUGACCUGGACAGCCUCAAGGGCCAGGUGGCACUG